rnacentral:rRNA from 1 species
GAACGCUGGCGGCGUGCUUAACACAUGCAAGUCGAACGAAGAGCGAUGGAAGCUUGCUUCUAUCAAUCUUAGUGGCGAACGGGUGAGUAACGCGUAAUCAACCUGCCCUUCAGAGGGGGACAACAGUUGGAAACGACUGCUAAUACCGCAUACGAUCCAAUCUCGGCAUCGAGACUGGAUGAAAGGUGGCCUCUAUUUAUAAGCUAUCGCUGAAGGAGGGGAUUGCGUCUGAUUAGCUAGUUGGAGGGGUAACGGCCCACCAAGGCGAUGAUCAGUAGCCGGUCUGAGAGGAUGAACGGCCACAUUGGGACUGAGACACGGCCCAGACUCCUACGGGAGGCAGCAGUGGGGAAUCUUCCGCAAUGGACGAAAGUCUGACGGAGCAACGCCGCGUGAGUGAUGACGGCCUUCGGGUUGUAAAGCUCUGUUAAUCGGGACGAAUGGUUCUUGUGCAAAUAGUGCGAGGAUUUGACGGUACCGGAAUAGAAAGCCACGGCUAACUACGUGCCAGCAGCCGCGGUAAUACGUAGGUGGCAAGCGUUGUCCGGAAUUAUUGGGCGUAAAGCGCGCGCAGGCGGAUUGGUCAGUCUGUCUUAAAAGUUCGGGGCUUAACCCCGUGAUGGGAUGGAAACUGCCAAUCUAGAGUAUCGGAGAGGAAAGUGGAAUUCCUAGUGUAGCGGUGAAAUGCGUAGAUAUUAGGAAGAACACCAGUGGCGAAGGCGACUUUCUGGACGAAAACUGACGCUGAGGCGCGAAAGCCAGGGGAGCGAACGGGAUUAGAUACCCCGGUAGUCCUGGCCGUAAGCGAUGGGUACUAGGUGUAGGAGGUAUCGACCCCUUCUGUGCCGGAGUUAACGCAAUAAGUACCCCGCCUGGGGAGUACGACCGCAAGGUUGCAACUCAAAUGAAUUGACGA